rnacentral:rRNA from 1 species
AGUCCCGCAACUAGCGCAACCCUCACUUUUAGUUGCCAUCAUUAAGUUGGGCACUCUGAAAGAACUGCCAGUGAUAAGCUGGAGGAAGGUGGGGAUGACGUCAAGUCCUCAUGGCCCUUACGUGUUGGGCUACACACGUGCUACAAUGGCAUCUACAACAGGAAGCAAAACGGCAACGUUAAGCAAAUCCCGAAAAGAUGCCUCAGUUCGGAUUGAACUCUGCAACUCGCGUGCAUGAAGCUGGAAUUACUAGUAAUCGUGGAUCAGCGUGCCACGGUGAAUGCGUUCCCGGGUCUU